rnacentral:rRNA from 1 species
AUUGAACGCUGGCGGCAGGCCUAACACAUGCAAGUCGAGCGGAUGACGGGAGCUUGCUCCUUGAUUCAGCGGCGGACGGGUGAGUAAUGCCUAGGAAUCUGCCUGGUAGUGGGGGACAACGUUUCGAAAGGAACGCUAAUACCGCAUACGUCCUACGGGAGAAAGCAGGGGACCUUCGGGCCUUGCGCUAUCAGAUGAGCCUAGGUCGGAUUAGCUAGUUGGUGGGGUAAUGGCUCACCAAGGCGACGAUCCGUAACUGGUCUGAGAGGAUGAUCAGUCACACUGGAACUGAGACACGGUCCAGACUCCUACGGGAGGCAGCAGUGGGGAAUAUUGGACAAUGGGCGAAAGCCUGAUCCAGCCAUGCCGCGUGUGUGAAGAAGGUCUUCGGAUUGUAAAGCACUUUAAGUUGGGAGGAAGGGCAGUAAGUUAAUACCUUGCUGUUUUGACGUUACCGACAGAAUAAGCACCGGCUAACUCUGUGCCAGCCGCCGCCGCAG